rnacentral:rRNA from 1 species
GACGAACGCUGGCGGCGCGCCUAACACAUGCAAGUCGAACGAGAGAGAGGGAGCUUGCUUCCUCGAUCGAGUGGCGAACGGGUGAGUAACGCGUGAGGAACCUGCCUCAAAGAGGGGGACAACAGUUGGAAACGACUGCUAAUACCGCAUAAGCCCACAGGUCGGCAUCGACCAGAGGGAAAAGGAGCAAUCCGCUUUGAGAUGGCCUCGCGUCCGAUUAGCUAGUUGGUGAGGUAAUGGCCCACCAAGGCAACGAUCGGUAGCCGGACUGAGAGGUUGAACGGCCACAUUGGGACUGAGACACGGCCCAGACUCCUACGGGAGGCAGCAGUGGGGAAUAUUGCACAAUGGGGGAAACCCUGAUGCAGCGACGCCGCGUGGAGGAAGAAGGUCUUCGGAUUGUAAACUCCUGUUGUUAAGGAAGAUAAUGACGGUACUCAACAAGGAAGUGACGGCUAACUACGUGCCAGCAGCCGCGGUAAAACGUAGGUCACAAGCGUUGUCCGGAAUUACUGGGUGUAAAGGGAGCGCAGGCGGGAAGACAAGUUGGAAGUGAAAUCUAUGGGCUCAACCCAUAAACUGCUUUCAAAACUGUUCUUCUUGAGUAGUGCAGAGGUAGGCGGAAUUCCCGGUGUAGCGGUGGAAUGCGUAGAUAUCGGGAGGAACACCAGUGGCGAAGGCGGCCUACUGGGCACCAACUGACGCUGA